rnacentral:tRNA from 1 species
GGGGCUAUAGCUCAGCUGGCUAGAGCGCUUCGCUGGCAGCGAAGAGGUCCGGGGUUCGAAUCCCCGUAGCUCCA